rnacentral:rRNA from 1 species
AUUGAACGCUGGCGACAUGCCUUACACAUGCAAGUCGAACGGCAGCACGGUUGCUUCCACCUGUUGGCGAGUGGCGAACGGGUGCGUAAUACAUCGGAACAUGUCCCUACGUGGGGGAUAGCCCGGCGAAAGCCGGAUUAAUACCGCUUACGCACUACGGAUGAAAGUGGGGGACCUUCGGGCUUCGCCCUUUAGGGUUGGCCGAAGGCGGAUUAGCUAGUUGGUGGGGUAAAGGCCUACCAAGGCGACGAUCAGUAGCUGGUCUGAGAGGACGACCAGUCACACUGGGACUGAGACACGGCCCAGACUCCUACGGGAGGCAGCAGUGGGGAAUUUUGGACAAUGGGCGAAAGCCUGAUCCAGCAAUGCCGCGUGUGUGAAGAAGGCCUUCGGGUUGUAAAGCACUUUUGUCCGGAAAGAAAUGCUUGGCCCUAAUACGGUCGGGGGAUGACGGUACCGGAAGAAUAAGCACCGGCUAACUACGUG